AAUUUUUUGUCCGACUGAAAACGUCUGGACGAAUUUUAUCCGAUGUCUCUACUAGUCUGUACGAUUUGGUCAGAUAAAAUUGUAGUUUUAGAACUUCUAAAAACAAAACGUAUGCCCUGUCCGUUUCAGUCGGACAGAUUUUUCCAAACGCUGUAAGAUCUGAUACAGUGUACGGCUUUGCGCUGCUACUGCAGCCAAUUUCAAAACUGCUAGAAUGUCCGAGUUGGAAACGGACAGGCUAUCCAAGAAACCUGUAACCGCGCUUCUCGAGAACAAAGGAUAGCCUUUCGGGGGGAGGUUUUGGCGACAGGCAAGCACUCAGGGUCUGGGGAUUUUCGAUAAUUUUCGAUAUCCCAGGCAUUUCUCAGGUUUGAAAACACCAACGGUCACUUCAGCGUCAGUCGAGAGAGCUCUCUUCACAAGGAAAGAUCUGUGUUGCGGAGAGAAAAAUUGAAAACUCAACGAAAAACUUCUAUAAUUGAAAAUUUCCACAUUCUGGCCUCAACUGCGACGCUCGCAAAAUGAUAAUACGUCUCCUGGUGCAAGUUAUUAUAGAAGAACUAGAAAUGAACAUCAACUACCAGAAAGAGCUGCUUGGCUUCACCGUGGAUAUUUACUACCAGAAAAAAACCCACUAGAGUUUGACAUGAAAUCUGAGAAAAUCAAGCAAUCAAAAUCAUCUCUAUAGCUUGGGCACAUCUCUGGAAAAGCGCGAGUGCAAGAAGAUGAACUUUUCCUCAGAACGUUAAGUAGUACUGUUCCGGCAAUCCGGUUUCAUUU